AUCAAGCAAGUUGGGGAAAA
rnacentral:snRNA from 1 species